UACGUAGGGGGCAAGCGUUGUCCGGAAUCAUUGGGCGUAAAGCGCGUGUAGGCGGCUCGAUAAGUCUGCUGUGAAAGUCCAGGGCUCAACCCUGGGAUGCCGGUGGAUACUGUCGAGCUCGAGUCCGGAAGAGGCGAGUGGAAUUCCUGGUGUAGCGGUGAAAUGCGCAGAUAUCAGGAGGAACACCAGUGGCGAAGGCGGCUCACUGGCCCGGUACUGACGCUGAGGCGCGAAAGCGUGGGGAGCAAACAGG
rnacentral:rRNA from 1 species